rnacentral:SRP_RNA from 1 species
CCGUUGGGUCCUGCGCAACGAAUCCCUGUGAACCCCGCCAGGCCCGGGAGGGAGCAACGGUAGCAGGGCCCUUCGUGUGCCGCAGGGUAGCCCGACGG